rnacentral:rRNA from 1 species
UACGGGGGGGUGAAGCGUUGUUCGGAAUUACUGGGCGUAAAGGGCUCGUAGGCGGCCAACUAAGUCAUACGUGAAAUCCCUCAGCUUAACUGGGGAACUGCGUGUGAGACUGGCAGGCUCGGAGGGCAGGAGAGGAACGCGGAAUUCCAGGUGUAGCGGUGAAAUGCGUAGAUAUCUGGAGGAACACCAAUGGCGAAGGCAGCUCUCUGGGACGGUACUGGACGCUGAAGACGCGAAAGCGUGGGGAGCGAACAGG